rnacentral:rRNA from 1 species
GACGAACGCUGGCGGCGUGCUUAACACAUGCAAGUCGAGCGGUAAGGCCCUUUCGGGGGUACGACGAGCGGCGAACGGGUGAGUAACACGUGGGUGACCUGCCCUCAGCUCUGGGAUAAGCCUGGGAAACGUGGGUCUAAUACCGGAUAUGACUCCAUGACGCAUGUUGUGGGGUGGAAAGCCUUGUGCGGCUAGGGAUGGGCCCGCGGCCUAUCAGCUUGUUGGUGGGGUGAUGGCCACCAAGGCGACGACGGUAGCCGGCCUGAGAGGCGACCGGCCGACACUGGGACUGAGACACGGCCCAGACUCCUACGGGAGGCAGCAGUGGGGAAUCUUGCGCAAUGGCGAAAGCCUGACGCAGCGACGCCGCGUGAGGGAUGA